rnacentral:rRNA from 1 species
AGGAAGGUUUUUGGAUCGUAAACCCCUUUUGUCAAGGAAGAAGCUCUGACGGUACUUGACGAAUAAGCCUCGGCUAACUCCGUGCCAGCAGCCGCGGUAAUACGGAGGAGGCAAGCGUUAUCCGGAAUGAUUGGGCGUAAAGCGUCUGUAGGUGGCCAGCUAAGUCUGCUGUUAAAGAUCACAGCUCAACUGUGGGAAGGCAGUGGAAACUGGCAAGCUAGAGGUUGGUAGGGGUAAAGGGAAUUCCCGGUGUAGCGGUGAAAUGCGUAGAUAUCGGGAAGAACACCGGUGGCGAAAGCGCUUUACUGGGCCAGACCUGACACUGAAGGACGAAAGCUAGGGGAGCGAAAGGGAUUAGAUACCCCUGUAGU